UGAGGAAUAUUGGUCAAUGGGCGCGAGCCUGAACCAGCCAAGUCGCGUGAGGGAUGACGGCCCUAUGGGUUGUAAACCUCUUUUGUCGGGGAGCAAAAGACGCUACGAGUAGCGUUAUGAGAGUACCCGAAGAAAAAGCAUCGGCUAACUCCGUGCCAGCAGCCGCGGUAAUACGGAGGAUGCGAGCGUUAUCCGGAUUUAUUGGGUUUAAAGGGUGCGCAGGCGGACUUUCAAGUCAGCGGUAAAAUUGCGGGGCUCAACCCCGUCGAGCCGUUGAAACUGGGAGCCUUGAGUGAGCGAGAAGUAUGCGGAAUGCGUGGUGUAGCGGUGAAAUGCAUAGAUAUCACGCAGAACUCCGAUUGCGAAGGCAGCAUACCGGUGCUCAACUGACGCUCAUGCACGAAAGCGUGGGUAUCGAACAGG
rnacentral:rRNA from 1 species